UGGGGAAUAUUGGACAAUGGGCGAAAGCCUGAUCCAGCCAUGCCGCGUGAGUGACGAAGGCCUUAGGGUUGUAAAACUCUUUCGUCGGGGACGAUAAUGACGGUACCCGAAGAAGAAGCUCCGGCUAACUUCGUGCCAGCAGCCGCGGUAAUACGAAGGGAGCUAGCGUUGUUCGGAAUCACUGGGCGUAAAGCGCACGUAGGCGGAUAGUUAAGUCAGGGGUGAAAUCCUGGGGCUCAACCCCAGAACUGCCUUUGAUACUGGCUGUCUCGAGGUCGAGAGAGGUUGGUGGAAUUCCUAGUGUAGAGGUGAAAUUCGUAGAUAUUAGGAAGAACACCAGUGGCGAAGGCGGCUCACUGGCCCGAUACUGACGCUGAGGUGCGAAAGCGUGGGGAGCAAACAGGAUUAGAUACCCCCGUAGUCCCUGAGCGGGCUGGCAAGGCGCAU
rnacentral:rRNA from 1 species